AUCAAGCGUGAACUCGACCCUCACGUGAACGCGCGUGAGACACUUGACCGGAAGCAAUGUUUUAUAGUUAAAGUUUAAAACAUGAGUAUUUUUCUUACACACACUUAUCGUUUGGCUCCAGAAGACACUGAUUCAUCCACUGGGGUCGUAUGGAUUUUUCUAAAAAUCUUCAUUUAUCUUCAUCUGAAGAAAGAAAGUCAUAUACAUCUGGGAUGGCAUGAGGCUGAGUCAUUGCAGAGUUUAAUCGCUUCACAAGCAAAAGCCUCAAGCAAGAUUUCUUCUCAACACUUGAUCAACAUACAGCUCGUUUUCUGGAAAUUUUUGAAUCAAAGAAGGGGCAGUUGGAAAGAGGCUUUCUGAGAUCUUUGAGCAAAUUAAGUCUAUGAGCACUGACAUCACUGCUAAGCACACAGCAGUUCUACGUGGCCUUCCUCUCAUUCUGGAGAAGAAACCACUGACUUUUUUCAAACACGUUUGG